rnacentral:rRNA from 1 species
AACGUAGGUGGCAAGCGUUAUCCGGAUUUACUGGGCGUAAAGCGUGUGCAGGCGGAUGGCUAAGUGAGGUAUGAAAUCCCGGUGCUUAACAGCGGGAUGGUACCUCAGACUAGUGAUCUGGAGUCUGAGAGAGGGAUGUGGAAUUCCGGGUGUAGUGGUGAAAUGCGCAGAUAUCAGGAAGAACACCCGUGGCGAAAGCGGCUCUCUGGAACGGUACUGACGCUGAGACGCGAAAGCGUGGGGAGCGAACAGG